rnacentral:rRNA from 1 species
UACGUAGGGGGCAAGCGUUGUCCGGAUUUACUGGGCGUAAAGAGCGUGUAGGCGGCCAAGCAGGUCCGUUGUGAAAACUGGAGGCUUAACCUCCAGACGUCGACGGAAACCGCGUGGCUAGAGUCCGGAAGAGGAGAGUGGAAUUCCUGGUGUAGCGGUGAAAUGCGCAGAUAUCAGGAAGAACACCAAUGGCGAAGGCAGCUCUCUGGGACAGUACUGACGCUGAGACGCGAAAGCGUGGGGAGCGAACAGG